rnacentral:rRNA from 1 species
AGAGUUUGAUCCUGGCUCAGAUUGAACGCUGGCGGCACGCUUAACACAUGCAAGUCGGACGGUAACAGGCCUUCGGGUGCUGACGAGUGGCGGACGGGUGAGUAAUGCGUGGGAAUCUGCCCACCAGUGGGGAAUAACGCAGGGAAACUUGCGCUAAUGCCGCAUAAUCUCUUUGGAGGAAAGCGGGGGACCUUAGGGCCUCGCGCUGGUGGAUGAGCCCACGUCGGAUUAGCUAGUUGGUGGGGUAAAGGCCUACCAAGGCGACGAUCCGUAGCCGGCCUGAGAGGGUGGACGGCCACACUGGGACUGAGACACGGCCCAGACUCCUACGGGAGGCAGCAGUGGGGAAUCUUGGACAAUGGGGGCAACCCUGAUCCAGCGAUGCCGCGUGUGUGAAGAAGGCCUGCGGGUUGUAAAGCACUUUUAUUGGGGAAGAAGGGGUUCUGGCUAAUAUCUGGAAUCAUUGACGUAACCCAAGGAAUAAGCACCGGCUAACUCCGUGCCAGCAGCCGCGGUAA